UUCUCCUUCCUAUUCACCUUUUGAACCCCAUUACUUGUUUCCUGCCUUAUAAAAGAGGCCAUACCACAACAUUAAUUGCAAAGCAAUGGAAAAUGUAAGUGUAGUGGAAAAUAGGAUUAAUCUCUCUUCUAAAACAAGUGUAUGGUUAAAAUGGUUUAUUCAUUUGCAGCUCAAUCCCUUGUUCCACCAACAGAAGAGCUGGUACAGCUGCUUGGGCUUCCUGGUGAGGGUUGGUAUUAGCCACCAAACCCUCUUACCAGUGUUCGUAUUUGAGGUUUCACUGUAAAGCAGUUAAGUGUGAUUUUUUUUUUAACAUAAAUAUACCAGUAUCUUGUGAGAUGAAAACUACCCUCUUCAAAGUUGUGAGCUUAUAAGUACUCCACAUGUGCCACUUGUGUGUUUAGAAUUGGUGAUGCAGUUCUCUAUCAAAGUUUCAUCUGGUUCUGUUCAUAAACCACUGAAAUAGGUCAGAAAGUUCGGUAAUUUUAGCAUCUAAGUUAUAUUGGCAAGAUAGCUUCUUCCACGUGAAAGUGGCUUAAAAAGUCGUUGUCAGGUCACGUGUCCUGAUUUUUGGCUUCAGAAAGUACCACUCACCACCAUACCCUCAGGCCCACGGUGCUGCUGUUCUGUAAGAACACUCAUCAGACUUCAGGAUCAGUUUACACAGUAAUCCCCCCCCCCCCGCCUUAUCUGACGAUUCGCCUUCCGCAGUUUCAACAAUCCGCAGUUAACAGCCGUCUGUGGGUGCCUGGGCAGUUCAGUUGAUAUAAGCGUCGGACUCUUGAUUGCGGCUCAGGUCAUGAUCUCACAGUUCAUGAGAUCCAGCCCUGUGUUGACACUUGUAGAGCCUGCUUGGGAUUCUCUCUCUCCCUCUCUCUCCCUCUCUCCCAGCAGAGGAUCCACCUCCUGACGAAUCAUCGAAAGGUCAGUAGUAGCCUAACUUUACAUCACAAUGCUGCGUCAUUCACCUCACUUCCCUCGGCAUUUUCUCGGCUUGUGUCGUCACAAGGAGGUUACUCACCUUCAACUGAGGUAUGGAAGCAGAUGAUCCUCCCUCGGUGAAUUGUCAGAAGGUCCAUAGCAGCCUACCUAGGUCACAAGGUCUGGGUCAUUCACCUGACUUUAUCUCAUCCUGCAGGCAUUUUAUCAUCUCACAUCAUCACCAGAAGGGUGCAGAGGUGGGUCGAUGUCCACAAGACUAAAACCAGCAGCUGUCCAGGUUCUUGGCCUUUCGUUACAGGUAUGUUCUAGAGGGAAUCAACAGCACAGAGAACAAACAGAAAAUGCUUUGUGGGUCAGAGGCUGAAUAAUCUUACUUGUUUCUAUUUCUCUGCUAUGGUCAUCUUUGUCUCCUUUAAAUAAUAGGCCAUUUCCUAUCAAUUCAGAUUAAUAGCAUGAGUUUGAUUGGUCAACCAUGUGGGGACUGUGUGGAAGAGAGAACAAAUAUGCUUUGAUUCCCUAGUGGUUCUACCAGCUGGGGAGUUUCAAAGAUUUCCUUUUAAAUCUCAAUUGAAGAUAGGAUAAAGGAAAUGUGCUAUGAUGAAAGCAUGUCUGGAACAUAGAAAGGUGGCAAAUGAAGAAUUUCCUGCUAA